UACGGAGGGGGCUAGCGUUGUUCGGAAUUACUGGGCGUAAAGCGCACGUAGGCGGCUUUGUAAGUUAGAGGUGAAAGCCCGGGGCUCAACUCCGGAACUGCCUUUAAGACUGCAUCGCUUGAAUCCAGGAGAGGUGAGUGGAAUUCCGAGUGUAGAGGUGAAAUUCGUAGAUAUUCGGAAGAACACCAGUGGCGAAGGCGGCUCACUGGACUGGUAUUGACGCUGAGGUGCGAAAGCGUGGGUAGCAAACAGG
rnacentral:rRNA from 1 species